GCUAACGUCGCGGCACCCAUCGCCUUCGCCCUCCGCUCACCCCGCCGAUGAGGACCCUGUUUCCUCCCCUUCCUCCCGUGCUGGGCCUCGCCCAGGUGCGCCGCCGCGUCCCCCCGUCUCCUCUGCCGCCGCCGCGAUGGGAGCGGUGUCACUUCUUGAGGCCCCCCGCGCUCCACCCGUCAGGCCGCGCGCACUCAAGCUCGCCCGCCCUGCCCGGGUCAUCGUCGUCUCCCGCAAACCCUUCCGCAUCGACCGCAUCCACCCUCUGCCAUCCGGUGCGACUACCACUUCCCCACUCUUCUGCAUCUGUAGCAUCGGCCGCCAUCCCCAUGCGCCGGCGCAUCCCAGCGUGCGUCACCAGAUCUGGCCCUCAUUUGGAGUCUGUCCUUCGUGAAGACCCUGGCGCUGCACCACCCACAUCUGCGCAGGCAUGCCUCGAAGGACUGAAUAUCCCUCCUCCUUCUGUUCGUUCUGUUUCUAGAGAGUAUUUUGAGGGGGCCAGCUCCCAAAAGGAAGAAAAUGGUUCUGACGUGAGUGAUGACAAACCAGGAAGAGAGUGGCUACAUAGGCAGGGCACUGUGGUAUAUCUGCGCUCUCAUUCUUGUUCCAUCCAAACUCCAAAGCUGCCAAUGGGGUAUUCCAGUUCUCACUUUGUGCACAGAAUUUCUUUUCCCGAUAUAGUUUAGCAACAGUACAGUACUGCAAAUAUAAGGUAGCCUGAGUUGGCCGAGCCUAUAGCAGUGGCGGAGCCUCGUGAGGACCAUACGGGGCUCCUGCCCCCCCUUCGCCAGGACAAAUGCACCCAGCAAACAUCUAAAUUUGCAUGCCUGCAUGUCUUCUAAACAUCCAUCCGAUUGCAGCGGCUCGCUGUCGCUCGCCUAAGAGCAAGUACAACAAGCGUCUUAUAGCUCUUUGUUUGCUUAUGUGGCACAGAGAGAAAAGCAAAAAGUUGGAGCAGAGGCUCUUGUUUAAGAGCCGCCUCUUCACACGCUCCUAGGCAGCGAGAGUAAAUGAAGUGGAAAGAGAAAGACAGAGAAAAUGAUCAUGGACCCACGGAAAGAGACAAAGUGAAAGACAAUUUAUUAUAUGAGUCAUUUUAUAGGUGUCUCUUAUAAACUUAAGAGACAAUAACGGGCUCUAUUAUUGGACAUGCUCUAAUGCAUUGAUGCCGACACACCUUCGUGUGCUUGCCUUGUCGUGACACUACCACCAACCAAUCUACAUGCUCAGCUAGCCUCCAUGCACCACUGUGCUCGAGAGAUGCUACAACCGCAAAGCCUGUGCUCACAGCUCUUGCACUCCCUGGACCGCUGCAGGUCCUUAUCCGUUUGUUAUGUGUGAUUUUUUUGUUUCUUCUCAAGAGUUAUUGAUGCAUUAGGCUUGCUAGAUGCGGAACUUGAUUGAACUAAUCAUGGCUUUGCCAAAUGGCCCCCCCUUGGUUUAACGUCACGCUCCGCCACUCUAUAGGUGGUUCUAACAUAUACAUGGAUAUAUAUUCUUUCUAGCAUUCUAUGUUGAUCGAUAAAUUAACUUGCAAUUGUUAGCCUUUUUUGCUAUUGUAGCGCCUUAUGCUUUAACAAAAGUUGGAGGUCAAUGGUUCAAAGAUGAGGCUCUUUUUUUCAAUGUUCUCGAGCUCAAGUUGAUUUCCAAAAUUUGUUUCAUCAGAAUUAAAAGUACCUUUUCCAACUUUAUUGUUUGCCCGGAGAAAAGGGGAGCAAGGGUAAAAUCUACUGCUAAAAUGUUAAAUAAAAUAGAUUGAGUGUUAUGUUAUAUGGGUAUUGACUAUUGAGCAGUCACUUUAUCGAGUAAAAUUAGUAGGCUAUAUAAAUUCUAAAUUCAAGAAGAACUUUUAUGUUCAGGAUCCUUAGGCUCAGACUGGAUAAUAUCUUUUGUUCUCCUAUUUUCUAAUUUUUUGUUUUGCUUUCUUGUAUUCUUAUGCUAGCUACGGCUCAACCAACAGCUGAUGGACAAUGUGAAUCUUCAGUCAUGGAACAAAAUGCUCUCACAAAAUGUAACCUUGGUGAAAAAUCAAAGGGUGGUGCAAUAAGUCAUGCUAAAUCUUGCCCCUCCCAAUUUCUGGAGACCAACAUAGCAAAGCAACACCAUCUUAGUGGUUACAAAAUCCAAGAGUUCAGGGAAAAAGAUAUCUUUAAUCACUCGAAUUCCUCUGCCUUCUCAAGGUGCUUCAUGCUGAUUAAAUUUUGCUAGCUCAUUUAGUUACCCCAAGAUGGAGAGCUAGGCAAGUUGCAGAUUGAUAUAGGCAAGUUCAUGGCUAGAAAGCCUAUUUGGAGCAGACACGUGCCCAUUUGGAGACCCAGCUGGCGGCUUCUUUAGCUUUGUAAUCACCACAGGAGUACCAACAAUGCCUACUGUCCUACAUACGGUUUUUGGCAAGAGAGGCAGAUGAAUCUCGUACACGCGAGGUUUGUGAGAGCUUUCUAGGUCCUCCGAUGGGCAUGCUUGGCUCAGCAUGGGAUCCUGAUGUUCUCGUAAGUCUGCAUAACCAAAGCUCCUCGAGUCAGUUGGCUAGAGGAGUUGAGGUAUGGUCGCCCUCAUAAGGUCGCGAGUUCGAAUUCCAACUGUGACGAAUUUCCGCUUGUGGGAAAAAAAAUCUCCCUCGCUGUGCUCGCCGCAAGGCUUGCCCUAUCGGGCAUGGGCCAGGGUUCGGGGGGUUUUUUCGCGGCCGGGUGAAGCCGUGUUGCUUCCUCUUAAUGAAAAACGGUGGGGUCUGUUCACCCCUCCCGGCCGCGUUUUUUUCGUAAGUCUGCAUACUAGACUCAUCCUCUACAUCUAUGUUCACAGAAGAUGCACCAUUUCUAUUCCAUAUAACCACGAGAGUUCAUGAACUCUAAACCAGUACGUCUCAGUAGAAGUGCUUGGCGGGGUCAUCGCACAGGGUGUACGGAUUCUUGCUGUCAUCGUCCUACUGGCUGCAGUAGCCGGCGGCGGCGAGGGUCUCGCAGCACGGCGCAGGCUCGGCGAACCUCCCUGGUGCCGGCACGUCAACGAGAGCGGCGAAGGGCGCAUUGAGGUCGAGGAGGAAGGUGUGGACGUGCAGUUGGCCGGGUCGAGCCCGGCGAGCCCGGAGCAGGGCGCGUUGUGCUGCGCGGCGCCAGCGUUGGCGAGCGGGUCGCAGCCGCCGUAGUUGAGCGGCCGGGUGAAAGAGCGGCGUGCAGUGCAGCCCAGGAAGCAGUGUCCAGAUGUUUGUGGAGUGAGGAAGUAGUGUCUUUAUUCAGCUUAUUCACUCAUUUUGUUGCCAAUCUCUGUGUACAGCUUAUUCACUCAUUUUGUUGCCCGUAUAAUAAUAGUCGAAAAUUGGUCU